CCCUUAGACGUUCUGGGCCGCACGCGCGCUACACUGACACAGGCAACGAGCUUUCCUUUACCGAAAGGUAUGGGUAAUCUUUUGAAGCUGUGUCGUGCUGGGGAUAGAUCCUUGCAAUUUUUGAUCUUAAACGAGGAAUUCCUAGUAAGCGCGAGUCAUCAACUCGCGUUGAUUACGUCCCUGCCCUUUGUACACACCGCCCGUCGCUACUACCGAUUGAAUGGCUUAGUGAGGCCUCAGGAUCCGCGCUUAAUGUGUGGAGAAUUUGGACAAACUACGUCAUUUAGAGGAAGUAAAAGUCGUAACA
rnacentral:rRNA from 1 species